rnacentral:rRNA from 1 species
UUUGGUAUGCUUGUAGCGCUUCGGCGCACCCAGAACCCUUUGUGAACUUAUACCUAUUGUUGCCUCGGCGCAGGCCGGCCUCUUCACUGAGGCCCCCUGGAGACAGGGAGCAGCCCGCCGGCGGCCAACCAAACUCUUGUUUCUACAGUGAAUCUCUGAGUAAAAAACAUAAAUGAAUCAAAACUUUCAACAACGGAUCUCUUGGUUCUGGCAUCGAUGAAGAACGCAGCGAAAUGCGAUAAGUAAUGUGAAUUGCAGAAUUCAGUGAAUCAUCGAAUCUUUGAACGCACAUUGCGCCCUCUGGUAUUCCGGAGGGCAUGCCUGUUCGAGCGUCAUUUCAACCCUCAAGCCUGGCUUGGUGAUGGGGCACUGCUCUCUGACGGGAGCAGGCCCUGAAAUCUAGUGGCGAGCUCGCUAGGACCCCGAGCGUAGUAGUUAUAUCUCGUUCUGGAAGGCCCUGGCGGUGCCCUGCCGUUAAACCCCCAACUUCUGAAAAUUUGACCUCGGAUCAGGUAGGAAUACCCGCUGAACUUAAGCAUAUCAAAAGGCGGAGGAA